rnacentral:rRNA from 1 species
UACAGAGGGUGCGAGCGUUGUCCGGAAUCACUGGGCGUAAAGGGCGCGUAGGCGGCCCGAUAAGUAGGGGGUGAAAUCCUGCGGCUUAACCGCAGGGCUGCCUUCUAGACUGUCAGGCUUGAGCACGGUAGAGGCGGAUGGAAUUCCCGGUGUAGCGGUGGAAUGCGUAGAGAUCGGGAAGAACAUCAGUGGCGAAGGCGAUCCGCUGGGCCGUUGCUGACGCUGAGGCGCGACAGCGUGGGGAGCAAACAGG